AUAUCAAUAAGCGGAGGAAAAGAAACCAACAGGGAUUGCCUCAGUAACGGCGAGUGAAGCGGCAACAGCUCAAAUUUGAAAGCUGGCCCUUUUAGGGUCCGCGUUGUAAUUUGUAGAGGAUGAUUCGGCGAGGGCUCCCGCCUAAGUCCCCUGGAACGGGGCGUCAUAGAGGGUGAGAAUCCCGUAUGCGGUGGGCUGCCUUAGCCAUGUGAAUCUCCUUCGACGAGUCGAGUUGUUUGGGAAUGCAGCUCUAAAUGGGAGGUAAAUUUCUUCUAAAGCUAAAUACCGGCCAGAGACCGAUAGCGCACAAGUAGAGUGAUCGAAAGAUGAAAAGCACUUUGGAAAGAGAGUUAAAAAGUACGUGAAAUUGUUGAAAGGGAAGCGCUUGCAACCAGACUUGUCCGCAGUUGCUCAGCCGGUCUCCUGACCGGCGUACUCUUCUGCGGCCAGGCCAGCAUCAGUUCGGGCGGUCGGAUAAAGACCUCGGGAAUGUAGCUCCUCUCGGGGAGUGUUAUAGCCCGGGGUGGAAUGCGGCCAGCCUGGACUGAGGAUCUCGCUUCGGCAAGGAUGCUGGCGUAAUGGUUGUAAGCGG
rnacentral:rRNA from 1 species